rnacentral:rRNA from 1 species
CACGGAGGGUGCAAGCGUUAUCCGGAUUCACUGGGUUUAAAGGGUGCGUAGGCGGGCAGGUGAGUCAGUGGUGAAAUCUCCGGGCUUAACCCAGAAACUGCCGUUGAUACUAUCUGUCUUGAAUAUCGUGGAGGUAAGGCGGAAUAUGUCAUGCAGCGGUGAAAUGCUUAGAUACGACAUAGAACACCCAUUGCGAAGGCAGCUUACUACACGAUCAUUGACGCUGAGGCACGAAAGCGUGGGGAUCAAACAGG